rnacentral:pre_miRNA from 1 species
GCUGCUGCUCGCACCUGCUGCUGGUGCCCAGUGCUGGUCCUGAUCACUCAGCACUGUCAGUGGGUGCGAGCAGUGGCUG